UUUUGUUUGGUGGGGAAGAAUCAGAAUUAGAGGAAUCUGAGACUUCCAUAUCCAUCUGCAGAACCAAAUGCAAGAAAUAAUCUCAAAUUGAAAUUCAGAACAAAUUGAAGGAUACCACUUUAAAAAAUAAAAAGACAUUUACCUUAAUGAAAAGCAGAAGAAACGAAAAUCAAGCAGGAGAUAGGAGGAAGCAAUGCAGCAUUCGCCAGAACAAUUUCCACGAGUGUGUGAACCAGUGAAACAGGCGAAUGAACAAACGAACGUUCACUAGAAUUCAUGCGAACAGUCAAAAUUCAAGCGAACGGCAUAAUUUGAGGCGAACGGCUAAAAGCACGAACUGACACAAAACCAAUUAGCAAACCAUACGAACGCAUGUGCGUUCAAAAAAACGAACGCCAUGUGAAAAUGAAAGAGAAACCACAUGGACUUGCACCUUCAGAAGGACAGCGGGAAAGGCAGAGGGAAGCCGGAAACAGGGAGAAGUCCAGACCAGCAAGGUACACGUCCAGGUCCAUAUUCACCUGCCCACUGCUACCCCUAGGGUCACUGCAGCAUUAGGGAACAAGGCAUUAUAGCUUGCUACCCCUUGGGUAACAGCAAGUACCAGACCCUUGGUCACUAAAGGGGUACUCUCCAGGGGGUCACCUUUGCGCAGGGCCGUGUAACUGGAGACUUCCCAAGGGAGAGAGGCUGAACUCCCAAGGGGCCAGGGGAACAAAU